AACGAACGCUGGCGGCAUGCCUAACACAUGCAAGUCGAACGAGACCUUCGGGUCUAGUGGCGCACGGGUGCGUAACGCGUGGGAAUCUGCCCUUGGGUUCGGAAUAACUUCGGGAAACUGAAGCUAAUACCGGAUGAUGACGUAAGUCCAAAGAUUUAUCGCCCAAGGAUGAGCCCGCGUAGGAUUAGCUAGUUGGUGAGGUAAAGGCUCACCAAGGCGACGAUCCUUAGCUGGUCUGAGAGGAUGAUCAGCCACACUGGGACUGAGACACGGCCCAGACUCCUACGGGAGGCAGCAGUGGGGAAUAUUGGACAAUGGGCGGAAAGCCUGAUCCAGCAAUGCCGCGUGAGUGAUGAAGG
rnacentral:rRNA from 1 species